rnacentral:rRNA from 1 species
GACGAACGCUGGCGGCGUGCCUAAUACAUGCAAGUAGAACGCACAGUUUAUACCGUAGCUUGCUACACCAUAGGCUGUGAGUUGCGAACGGGUGAGUAACGCGUAGGUAACCUGCCUGGUAGCGGGGGAUAACUAUUGGAAACGAUAGCUAAUACCGCAUAAUAUUAAUUAUUGCAUGAUAAUUGAUUGAAAGAUGCAACUGCAUCACUACCAGAUGGACCUGCGUUGUAUUAGCUAGUAGGUGAGGUAACGGCUCACCUAGGCGACGAUACAUAGCCGACCUGAGAGGGUGAUCGGCCACACUGGGACUGAGACACGGCCCAGACUCCUACGGGAGGCAGCAGUAGGGAAUCUUCGGCAAUGGACGAAAGUCUGACCGAGCAACGCCGCGUGAGUGAAGAAGGGUUUCGGAUCGUAAAGCUCUGUUGUAAGAGAAGAACGGGUGUGAGAGUGGAAAGUUCACACUGUGACGGUAUCUUACCAGAAAGGGACGGCUAACUACGUG